rfam:Asian citrus Psyllid, Diaphorina citri - Florida Strain, whole genome shotgun sequence.
AGCAUAGUUGGUAAAGCGUCUGCCUUGUAAGCGCUAGGCCGCGGGUUCGAUUCCCGC